AUGUGUCCUUACAUGUUCCGCCGCUCGCCUCCUGCGCCGCCCGCCCCGCAUUCCUGCCCCGCCGGCCCUCCCCUCCCCGCUGCGCACCCGCCCCGGCAGGGCCCCGGGGGGCGGGGCUCCGCCACACUCUGCAGGCACUGGGCGCCGGGCGGGGAGGACCGGGACCCAGCGGGGGCGCUUACCCAACAGUCCAAGCCUUCUGGCCCGCCGUCUGCCGCUUCUUGGAAUCACAGCCCCCCAGGCCUUGGACAGAGGAGAAGAGGCGGGAGAGAGGGGAAGGAGCGUCUUCUAGAUGAACGGUCACUGCUUGCGAGGGGGUGGGUUUGCUCAGCUGGCGCAUUGUGGCACCGCUCGCACAGUGGGCGUCAGACAGCUGCUGGAUGCUUUCCAGGCCGCGGGAGUUCUGGCCUAUUGCCUCAGCCAGGAGCCCSUGUUGGGUUCCUCCCCUAUCGACAGAUUUCCUCCCCCAUGACAGAUUUAAUGAUACUUAAUAAUGGCAGAGAGAAGAUCUCUCUCCCCCGUGCGGGCCCUAGAGAGGCUGUGCAUAGCUGUCCACUGCCUGGACGGCCCACCUUCUCUGCUGCUGGGAGACCUGUAGAGAGUUGCCAGUGCGAACUGGGGAGAGGAUAAUAAAUUAUCAAACAAAAUGAAGAAAGAGCAUUGAAGCCACCCAUCUCUGGCACCACCCCUGACAAGGCAGACCUCCUCCGGGCCUUUGCACCUGCCGUUGUCAGCGCCUGGACCACUCUCCCACACCGCCACCUGGUUCACUUCCCAGUUUACUUCUUCACCUCACUCAGUUCUUUGUUCAGAUAUGACUUUCUGUGCAAGAUGUCACCCAACACCCUGCUUCGAAC
rnacentral:lncRNA from 1 species